UUGCACUGACAAUUAUUCCCUUUGUCUAUUAUGUAGCUGAGGGAUCUCUUAACCGUGAUAGAUCAAAUCCCUUCUUGCAAAAAAGGCCAGGCUUUCUUGCAACUUGUCCCUUCUGAUAGUUGGGUACAAAA